rnacentral:tRNA from 1 species
UAGAAAAAAUUUAGAAAUAAGGAAAGAGAGGGA